UUUUGGUUCUUUUUUUUCGGAGCUGGGGACCGAACCCAGGGCCUUGCGCUUCCUAGGAGCAAACAGACUCUUAAGCAGUGAAUGACUGGGUGACAGUCAACUGGGAGGUUGCCCUCCAGCAGUAAAUGAUCUGAGAAGGUGCCUAGGUUUUGAUUUUCAUAGUCCUGUUGCUUUGUGUCAGAAUAAAUGGUAUGUGUCGUGUGUACAAUAAAAAUGACAAUGACAACCAAGUGACUUACUUAUUUCACACUUGUAUGGAUUAGCUUCUGAACCAGCUAGCCAUCUUUACUGUCUGUGUGCUUUGUAAGACUGAUCCCCGAAUUUGCUGGUCCUUCCCUCAACCAUAGUUUCCCAGAGAGACAAGAGACAAACAUGUACCUACUGACUUUCAAUGUUUGAAACAUGGUAAAAAAGAUUUAAGUGAAAAAUCGCACCAAGUUUUCUCAUGAAACACCAAUGGUUCAGUGGGCAAAGCGUUUGAGUCUCCAGAAACUGCCUAAAGCUAGACACCUUGGUGUUUGUUUGGUAAGUCAGCAUUUCUAUGGCAAAAUGUGAAACAGAGGCCAGGACAAUCCUCAGACAGUCCUUGGCCAGUUAGUCUGAGAUAUGUAGCAGCAGACAACAAAGAGACCUUGUCUCAAACAAGGCGGAAAAGAGGUACUGACACCCAGGGCUGUUCUCUGACCAUGCAGAUGCAUAGUGGUGCGUACAUGUGUUCUCUGGUCUUUCUCUCUCUCCAUCCCCUCACAGAUUGUUUUUUGUAAAAGGGACAAAUGUUCUUUAUCUGUCAAAGAAAUUAGCCACAAACUUAAUGCACCUAAGAGUAGUUUUAACUAUUCUUUCUAAUUGAAUCAUCAGAGAUUGUCUCUACAGCAUUGUUUAGACUACAGAACUGGACACCAAAUCCACUGAUAUAAGAUUAAUUAAAUUAUGGUUUAUGCCACUUGAAGAUCACAGAAAGGUUUCGGGGAGAAGCAUACAUUUUCAUGUUGCUAUGUUCAAAAAAAAGUAAGCUACAGAAAAAAAGUAGGAAGAAAAAGGCAAAUUUUAGAUAAAAAGAUGAUAGACAACGAGGUGAGUUUUCAUUUUAUUCUGUUUGCUUUUCAGUUUUCCCUUGCUGUCAUGGUACACAUCUGGGGUCAGAAAAGCACAUGUGUGCUUUUUGGCUAUCGAGGUCUAUCUUGUGCUCACAGGAGGGCAUGAGGACGGUGCUCAGAGGAGCAUUAUUUAGAAAGAAUCUCAGGAAGAGUGAAGAGAUACUCCAAGGGAGAAUCUGGAAAAGAAAGGGGUUUUGUUUUAUUUGGUGUUUUUGUUGUUGUUUUAACAUAUGGGGUGAAAUUUCUGGAGAGACACAAAGAGAGAAACCAACAGUGAGAGAAAGAAAGAAGGAAGUGGAAGGGAAAAAAGAACGGAAGAGGUAAGUGGGUAGACAAAUACUUUGAAAGACAGAGAUGACAGUGUAACAGUAGUCAACUACGAGACUAAAUCAACAGAUUUUCAGUAAUCUUCCUGACGUAGAAAGACUUAACAAUUCACCUCUUUCAACACCCUUCAUUAGUAGAUUUCCUCAUCUUAUUACAAUAAAUCAUGAGCUCAAUUAUACAAGUAGAGUCUUUUAUCACUUUUCUAUGCCUGCAUUUUUAUUCUUUCUAAUCCCGUUUCAUUUGUUUGGUUUUGCUUGUUUUUCUUUUUUUUAAAGAGAAGUAUUCAAUAGAACAUGAGGUGUGAGUUGCCUUCCAUGAAAUUUACACGCGGGAUGGAAAUAUCGCUAUAGAGCUCUGGGUCUUUCCUGGGAGCUGAAACAGGAAGUUUCAGGACAGCUGGAGCUUUCACAGGAGAUGGGGAGGACACUUUGAGUCAGAAGAGUAAUUAGCUCCAAAGACUUGCAUCUCAGAGUCACUUUACAUAGAGAUCUCUUCACACCUAGAGCAUCAUCAGCGAAGCGGCAGCUCCCAGAAGGGCCUAUUACCGGGCUGCUUUAGAUGAAGUUCCGGAAGACAUCUUGAACAAUGGAAGACCACAUGCGCGGCCGUAGCUAUGGUUACUCCUCACUCCCACGUUCAUGCCACAGCAGAUUCGCCUUACUCUCUACAUUUGUCAUUAAUGAAACAUUGCAUUUGAGAAGAUGACACCAAGAAGGAGAAGAAUAAUCAGUUUUCUCCAAUGGAGUGACACAGGGGAUAUCAACUCUAGGACGGGCCUCAUCUUCAGAAGUAACUGACCAGCAUAUAAUGGACUCCAUGGGCUUUUGUGGGCUUUUAUUUGGUUACAGUUCCAUGUUUUGCUGUUUUUUUUUUCUUGGAGGGAUGGCGUCUGACCAUGGAGCAGUAGACCUGAAUCUGUGGGCAGUGGCCGGUCUCACUGCACCCACAUCAACAGUAUCGGGGACCUGGUUAGAGAUGUGGUGCUGACGCUCCUCAGGCCUACUAAAUAGGACUGAGCUAAUGGAAUUCUCAGAUGACCACUUCUCAUUAAAGUUGGAAAAAAAUGUGUUCUGGAGGAAAACCAGGUAUAGACGUUGAGGCAGCAGACAGAAGAGGUUCAGUGCCUUUCAUCCACAAAGUGGACUAUAGGGGCAUACAACACCUUAAGAGACAUGGGUGGCUAUGACCGGUCCUCCAAUCAGGGGAGUCUCUUGGUCGGAAGGUGCCUUUGAGCUAGCCUGGCUCAUGGAUAGUGCUGGGAGAACAAGGUGGAUUCACACUUAAAAUUUUUUUCUGUUUCAUCGGAAAAGAAAAGUGUGUUCUUUCUUAAUUACAUAAUUAAAGGAACAUGACUUUAAUAAUUACCUGUUCUAAACCUCCAUAUUUUUAGAUAUGUAUUUAAGUUUUUCUUCCUCCUUUUUUUCCCUCAGUCUAUAAUGGAAGGCUUUUGCUUCUGAACAGUAGCAUUGUUCUGAGCAGUGUUGUUCACAAACUCUCACCAUCAUGUUAAUCUUAAGCUCUAGGCUAGGACCAUGUCUACCUACCUUUGGGCCGUGUGUGUGUGUGUGUGUGUGUGUGUGUGUGUGUGUGUGUGUGUGUGUGUGUUAAUGCUGGUGGUCACACUGCCUAGCCUACCCUCAGAUCUGUGAUAAUCAUCCUGCUUCAACAGGAUGUGAACCAGCAUGCCAUGUUGUCUGUUAACCUUGUAAUUCUCUUCCCUGAUCUUAAAUGCUUGGUACCUGGUGAAAACCCAAUAAACAUUUUUUUUAAAAAAAAUAAUGAAUAACAUUAUAGAUAUCUAGAAGAUAAAUCCUUCAACCAUGGAAGGAGUAUUCUGUAAGAUGCUCAUUAAUGGGCCAAUUCGUUUUUAUAUUUUCCUAACACAUUCUGUACAAAUAAACCUGUCAGGUCGUAAAAUACCAGGCCAAAUGUAACUGUCAGUUUGAAAGCACUGGCAUAGUGUUGUAAAGCAGUUACUAUGAAUCACAUGUGUGUGCAUGCUCUGUGCACACAGUCAUGAAUUAUUUUCUGUCAGUAUUUGGCAGACAUUUAACAAGUUUUCUGUUUUCCAAUUUUACAAUAAAAUACAUGCUGGAAAACACUGAAAAGGAUUACACACACAGACACAGACACACAGACACACAGACACAGACACAGACACAGACACAGACACACACACACACACACACACACACACACACACACACACACACACACACACCACUGUUCCUCUUGCUGGCAUUAUAAGUUGGUUAAUUCACUUGAAGAAUAAUGGGUCCUACACUCACAUUCACAUAAUCCCACAUACUUAUCUAAUUAAAAUAAAACAAAAAACUUUUUAAAAAAAUUAAAAGACUAAUGGAUCUAUGCAAUCAUUAUUAAAUAUCUUGAAAUAAAUAUUUCCUGGCCUGAGAAGAAAAUAAUCUUCAGAAGGCUCUAGAUUACCAAAUGCUAUUUGGGGAGGGUUAGAAUUCUUUUCUUAAGGAGCACUGGUGUUCUUAUUCCAACCCAAUUGCUUAUUGGUUAGGUUUCCUCAUAGUUUGAAUAACACUGUAGUUUUCAUUUGUUCCCACUGUGUGUGUGUGUGUGUGUGUGUGUGUGUGUGUGUGUGUGUGUGUGUGUUUGAACCUGGAUAUAUACCUAAAUUGGCUGACCAGUGAACCCCUACCAUUCUCCUUUUUUGCAUUCCCAGAACUUGGAUUUCAAGCAUAUGAGAGCCAUACCUGGCUUUUUAAUGCAGGCACUGGGGAUUGGAAUCAGGUCUCCGUGCUUGUAUGGCAAGCACUUUACCAGCUGUGUCAUAACCUGGUCCCCUUUCAAUAUUUCAAUCUAUGGUUAAUAUAGACUGGGCAGACUAUCCUAAGAUUAAUUUGAAAGUCUAAAGUUAAAUAUAAUUGAUGUAAUAGAGGAGAACAGAUUUUAUUUUAUCUCAAGUAUAUUUUAAAAGAUGCUCUUAAAAUCGGGCUGUCAUCCCUUUCUUCAGAAUGGUAUAUUAAAAAUUGCUUUGUUUCACAAAGAAAACAAACAAGUAAAUAUUUGCCCCAGAUAGAAAUUCGUGUAUCUUCUAUGUUAAAAAGACUAUGCCAGCAGAAUUCCAAGUAAGUAGAUAUUAGUUGAUAUUCACAUAUCUUAUGGCUGUCUCAUGGUGUGGAUAGGUUUUCGUGAUUAAUUGACUCUACAAGUGUGCGCAAUACAAUCUUGAAAUGCUUUGCUCAGCUGAGUGUCAGGACUCAUCCUCCAUAGUCUUGGAUGCAGGCAUCCUACCAUUCUCGGCCUGCCUGGUGAAGCCCUUCCGGCACUGUCGCUGUGAGUUUUGCUUUUGUAUCAGAUGUGAACCGGGAGAAAAUGCACUGGAUCCCAGUGCUGUCCUAUUAGUGUCACUGCCAUCACAAUCCUGUCUCAUGUAGAGUACAUGGAAAGGACCCUGUGCUAGGGUAGUGGCCUACCUGAACUCUCGGCUUUGACUGGUGACAACUCUUUUAUUAUCCAGGUGCCCCUUUGCAAAUAGGGAGGGACGUCUCCAUUUUGUUACCUCACCAGGGACUGUGGUUAAAUCUGACCAAGCCUAUGACUGCCUGACAAACUUGAGUGUCACAUAAGGACUUGUUAGUACAGACGCUCCAGCUUGUGGGCCGAUUGAUGCAUUCUUUCCAGCUUUGGUUUUGUAAUUAUAGGUGGAUGAAUUUUAGCAGUUUUAAUUAUAUUCUUCCUUGAUUUAUACCAAAAUGUUAAUUUCUUUUGGAUUAAAUAAGCUUUAUAUGAAUUAAUUUGACCCUCCUCCGUCUUAAAAAAAAACUAUUAGGAAUUUCAUUAGAUUUAAGUAACAUGGAAUUUGAUUACAUAGAAUAUUCUGGGGCUCAGCCUCAGCAGGCCGGGGUACAAGGCAGCUGAUUACAACUUAAGCAUUGUUUCAAUGUGAUCUUGCAAAGGAUUUCAUUAAGUGCAGAUUAGUGCAUUUAUUAAGCUGUUGAUAAUUGAAGCCUCUUUGGUUUGGUAAGUACCAUCCAGUGAGGUAGAUUAGUGAGGUUUAAUUCGUUGCUCUCAAAUAGUAAAUGAAGACUUAGCAGAAUAAUUACAUCUCCUCUGUGGGCUAAUAAAGAUGACAUUGCAAUGGCACUUCUCCCUCCUUAUGCAUUUGUGUGAUUUCCAUUAGGACAUUGGGUGGGGGUUCCUCUUAUGUCUCAAGAGAAGGCCAAACCUUAUCAUCUGUAAAUGAUCAGACGUAGUCACCUAGAGUGGGUAGGCGCAAGAGAGAGGUGAAGUUUGGAUAUUGUAAGAAUGUAAGGUGCCUGCUUAGCCCAAAGACAGAGCAUUAAGCCAUCUCCUUUCUCUGUGUACUCGCACUUUUGAUGACAGACUGACUUCUAAGCAUAGACUAAGGAGAAGCUGAAGAUGUAGUCAUCUACAGUGUGAGCGACAAGGAUCAGAAGUCAGAAUGAAAAGUACUACAGUAGAACUGAUAAUAAAUACAUAAACGAACAAAUAAUAAACAAUGU